ACAAAGGCUGUGUCAGCCCUCAGUGCCUGUGGGGCAGGCUCUCUCCUAAGCUGGAUUCACCUACUUCCCUGGGUUGAGCAGGACCACAUGGGGGGAAAGAGCCCUUGCCUAGAGCUGCACCUGAUGGAGAGAACCUCACUCCUGGGGGCUCUGUGUUGUCACCUGUCCAGUGGGAGAAGAGUCCCCACCCCGGCCCAAAGGGAGCCUCCAAACAGCCAGAAGACAGCCUUGGAUGAACGCCCUCCACUCCACUCAGCCAUGCUGGUCAAGGACUAAUCAGACAACAAGCAAAGCAUGUUUUAAAAAUGGCACAGGACAAGUCACCACCUUGACCUCAACAGGAGGAAGCUGUGGGUCCCUGCAGAAGAAAGACAAGAUUCUAGUCUGAUCUCUGCCAUGGAUUUGCUGUGUGACCUCAGGGCAGGGCCUUCAGGAAUUGUGAGCUGUGUAUAACUCCACUCAAAAUCUCAGCAAGAUCAGAUUUAAGAACUAAUAAAAGCAAUUCCAAAGUCCACCCAGGACAA